AAAACAAUAUUUGAUGAAGCAAACUCUGAGUGCUUGCAUGCUUACUCUCCAGAUGGGACCCACAGUCACUAGACUUCAUGUAAUCUGAAAAAACAGGAUUUUUUAUGUGAGUUCCAAGAAAAGGAGGUAUUUAAAAAUCCUUGGAGCCAAGGUUUGCUGCCUUCAGCAUGGAACAGCCUCUGCUGUUCCCGAACAAUGUAUGUUGUGGAGGCCGGAGAGAAGGGGAGAAGGGAAGAACUGCCAGCGGGCUAGACAAUGGUAGCAAUAAGACUGUGCAAGACUUGCCUUGCUGCAUAAAACCCCUGUGCAAGCUAGAGGAUGUCUGCAGAAUGGUUCCAGUUUCAGCCCAGGUAAAUGCUGAAGCAUCAAAGCAUUGUGCUGCUCUUGGACUGCAAUCACAGCACUGGGCCAGGAAGGACUUGGAGGAAAUCAUAUCCCCGUGCUUGUGUUUGACAUCCAGCAGCAGCUGGCAAUGGCAGGAGCAGCCACAGAAACAGUUGUAGGAGAGGUGUGCUUCUGCAGCUGAGAAAUGAGGGUGGGAGGUUAGGGGUGAAGGAAGAGUUCUCUCUUCCAGCUGUGGCAGAGCGCAACUACCCCCCACCCCCACCCCAUCUCGGGCYCAAAAUGUGGUGGAGCACAACUAUCUCCACCCCUUUAUCUCAGGCCCCAGCUGACUGCAAAUAACUGACAGCGCCUAGGGCUGACCAGGAGGAACUGGGUGAUACUGGUUGCAACUGGUGAGGCCAGAAAUGGGCGUGAGAUCAGCAAAAAGGGAUAUCUUUUUCCCCAACAUGGCAUGAGGUCAGCAAAAAAAAGGUACAUCUCCACACCAAAUAUUGUAUGACCGUGAGUCAAACUCCGUGCCCAUAAAUAGCACUGCAGCCUAGAGUCCAUCGAGCUCUCCUGCACGGCAGCAGGCUGCAUGGUGGUGAAUCUCCCCUUGAGCUGGGACGCCUCUCAAGCUUACUGUCCUGGAGUUAAGAGAACCUCUGACAAGAAACUGUUGGAGUG
rnacentral:lncRNA from 1 species